rnacentral:lncRNA from 1 species
GUCGAAGUCAGCCGGACCAGAGAAAUAUUUCGAGAUACACGUAGUUCGACUCAAACGAACACCGGAAGUUCGACAAUCUAAGGGACACAACUCUUGCUUAGCUUGGUGAAGCUAAAUUAAAUCCGGGUGAAUAUGGCAAGGGGAUCGAUAUUCUAGUAUCAGAUCGAUGUAUUUGUAUGUCACAGUCUUUUAUUAUUAUGAUGACAUUAUUUUUAUUUAUUCAAUUCUUUCAAUUAAAAAAAAUCCUAUGGCUUUUCCAAGAGAGCAAUUUCCAAUUGAUAGUUUCGUUAUUCAGGUCGAUUAUAGCUGACAAAAUUGUUUAUUCUCGGAUACAAGAGAUUUAAAAAAAUGUUGAUUUCUAUUCAUUUUGUUUUAUCUCAUUCUUUCUUUUCAAAAGAAAAUAUAACAAGAUUAAAGACGCCGUUUGAGUAGUUUUUAGCUGAUCAUCAAAGGAAGCCAUAAUCCUCACUUAAUACACACCCAAGCUCAUUAGUGUAAAUCACAAAUUAAUUGUUUUGUAAGCAUUUUAAAUACUUUUUUCAUGAACAUUAACAAUGUAUCACUAAUUAUUUGUCAAAAUU